ACUGGGCGUGGUAGUGCAUGCCUGUAAUCCCAGUGGCUUGGGAGGCUGAGGCAGGAGAAUCACAUGUUUAAGGCCAGCCUCAGCCACUCAGUGAGGCCCUAAGCACUUUAGCAAGAUCUGGUCUUAA
rnacentral:sRNA from 1 species